UCGAGGUCAGCAGCUACACCAGGAGCAGCAGCAGGAGGGACCACAGCCUCACCCCCGGCCACAUCAGCAUCAGCAGCAGCAGCAGGAACAGCCGCCGCCCCAGCUACAGCCUCCUCGGCAGACACGUCACCGCCACGCGAAUUGGACGCACGCUGAAACGCUCUCCCUUGUACAGCUCUAUAGGGAGAAAGCAGCCAUCAUCAAGGGAAAUUUUUCCGACAAUGGCUGCUCUGCUGAGGCGAAGGCUUGGGGCAGAAUUGUCUCUCGCCUAGCGGCACUCCACCCUGGCUUCAGUAGAUGCAUAAAGCAGUGCCAGAGACGCUGGCAAACUGUUAUGCAGGAAGCAAAAGCUAAAAUUAGUGCCUACCAAAAGGCCAGGAAUGGAACAGGUGGUGGCCUUCCGCCUAAACCCCUCGGGGAGCUAGAGGUCAUCAUCGCUGAUGUGCUGGGAGAGGGGAACGUCUCAGUCAAUUCUAUUGACAGGACAGUGGUGGACCCUUUUCCACUUGACACUGAAGAUGUUCCCGAAAAUGGGAGUCUUCAGGUGGAUGUCACACCACCUGUCCCUCCCCAACCCAGCACAGACACACCUCAAACCACCACCACACCACCACCAGUAGUUCCUGCCGCUGCAGCUUCCUCCAGUACACCAGUUGGGACCUGCACCAUGUUGGUGGAUGAGGAGGAGCUGCAGUUCAUCCACCUGAAGAGGGAACUUGAUCUGCAGGCUUCAGAGUUACAAGUAGAAAUAAAACAGGCAGAAUUAAAAAAACUUAAACAAGAAACUGAAAAUUUAAAAGUACAAAAACCCUACUCGAACUGCAAGUAAAAAAACUCAUGUAACACGCAAAUACACUCCACCAUGCCGCUGCUACCCCACACACUCUACCCUGUCUCUCCUCUCUUUUG